AACGGGUGAAACACAAUAUAGGGAGCAUUUAGAAUAUCACAUUGUUAUACAUGGUUUUCAUAAAUUUCCUAACCCUUUAUUGCAAUUUAACAUUUACACUUCAUAACACUAAAUAUGAAGAAGUUCUGUGCCAAAUUUUAUUGAUCUAGCUCAAAUAGUUUUCAAGCAGUGGCAAAAAACGCAUCUAGAAAAAGUCAUUUUUGAAGCGUUAUGUUGUUGCACUUAGAAUUUUCCAUAUUUUUCAAAUAAAAUAAUGGUAUGAUAUUAUAUAUUUCCAUGUAAAUGUGUGUUAUCAGCAUAAAGACAAUUUUUUAAGGAUUAUUUUGGUGUUUGAUUUGUCAUGAUCGGAUGAAAAUUGUUGAAGCUGUCGAGAAAAAUGUGAAAUGGGUAAGAUGUUAUGCAGUUUUUCACUGAAAUUCCUUCCUUUUGUUAUAAUGAAUAACUGCAAUGUUAACAUUAUUUUUUCUUUAAUAUUUUGGUCCAGAAUCAUUUCUCUGUUGUAAUAGUACUUAAAGAAAAAAAAUCAAAAUCAUGUAUUUCUGAAAUUUAAUUGUAUGAAUUUUUAAAAUUGAAAAUCAGGUUUUUAUGAAAAGAUGUAGAGUCCGUAACCAAUUGUAUUUUGUAGAUUUGUAAGAUAUUAUGAGAGUCUUUAUUGAUUUUUUCUUAUCAAAUUUAACUGUUGACAUUAAAUUUUUAUGCUAUUUCCUUUAUUGUUAACUACAUUUUUGCUGUAGCACCACUAAUAUGGUUACGGACACUACAAAAACCCUGUAGUGUCCGUAACCCGUCUUUCAAUGGUGUAAAUAAACAUUUUUUUAAAUUUUAUUAUAAUAGUUAUUCUUAUGAAAGUAAUAAAUGAUUUCACAAGUUAAUUAAUAAACUUUAUUUUUCAUCAACUUGUUGAUGUUGCAACCACAUUGGAAAACCCUUAUUGCGGCAUCUUUAUAUACAGCAUCAUUUUCUGUUGCUGCAGCAUGAAAUUGAAAGAUGUCAUAGCAAACAUGGAAGCGACGAGAGAUAAAGAAUCACUAUUUUUUUCAAUAUGGAAGGUUCACUGAUGACAAAUUUAACAAAGUCUAUUAAUAAUUUCACUACAAAAGAUAUAGAGUUUUGAUCUGAUGAGGCAGCUGCAAUGCUGAAACUUAAAAGGCACAAAAAUGCUGAAUUGGUUAGAAGAGGUUAAAUGGCAAGAAAGGCAGAAACUCAAUCCAGGCCAAUGUGAAAAUUAAAAGAAAAAUGAGAGAGAAAGAAAGAAGGAUUGUAAAAUGAGACAGCGACAAGAAGUAGAGAAGAGUAACUCAAAACUAGAUUAGUUAAAAAAGCAGAACUUAUAUCAAAAUCAUAUGAUGAAGGAAAAAGAGUGGAAAGAAAUUUGUGUCUGCACAAACAGGAUCUGUCAUAGGAGAUAAGAGACAAUGUUGUUGCAUUUAUAGAUGAAUCUACUAUGACUGAUAAUAGGGGUACAUUUUCAACACCAAGACAUCUGAAAAUUUGAAGAAAAAAAAGUUACAAAAAGAUUAUAGAAAUGUGAACUUUCAUUAGAUAAUUCAUAGUGUAGUGUCCAUAACCAUGAACUUAAUUUCUUUUUUCUGGUUAGUGACAUUCUUGAGUAAAAAAGUGUAAGUGUUAGUUGUGUGAUAUGAAUACAAAGUAUUGAUAAUAAUGUAUCACUUAGAGAACUUAAUAUUGCUUAUUAAGUUACAAGAUUUCAUGAAAACAGGAAGUUUUCAGA